rnacentral:lncRNA from 1 species
AGGUUUAUAAAACCCGAUCCCCAUGUGCCUUCCGCCAUAACCAGGCUUGGGAGCUAGCGCAACCUUGCAUGGAUGAUUACGCUGAAGCACAGCGACGAGUAGGAGAGAGAGAAUAGAGCCGCUACGACCACGCCUCGCGUUCACCAUCGCCCAGCCUCUCGAUCGCUGGGGAAUCGGGCGAGAUCACCAAGUCGUGCAGAACGUGCGUGUGGUCAGCAGAGCAAGGAAGUUGGCGGGGGAGACGAAUUGCUUGCCGGUGCUUGGCCGAAUCCUCACCGGGAAUCCUCGGGCGGCACUGCAGCGUCGACCGGCCGCAUCGACGUCUUCUCGAGUGGUGAGACCCUACUAAAUUACUCGCCGUAGCAUCCGCAUAGAUGAUCCCCAUUCAAUUUCCGAAUUUAGACAUAGAAAUCGGCAGGGUUGGUUCGCCACCAAUGGCGACGUCGUGCCUUCGUGUUCUGUCGCCGGUCGGGCGCCGUGGUGAGAGAGAGAGAGGAUUGGGGGGGAGAAAAAUGAAGGGCUUGGGCUGUUGGAUCAUACACGGACGGCGCCGAUCUAACCGCGCAUACCCCUUCGCUCAAUAGGAUUUGGGCCGUAGAUCUGAGAUCAAGCGAUCAGGAUUUGAUCAUAGUCAUUCUUAAUCUGGACUGACGAUCUUUAAUCCGGUGGUCCUCAUGGCUGACCGGAUCAUUUUUAAUGAAGUCUAAUCCUGGCCGCGGAAUUUAGAUCUGACGGCUGAAGUCAGCCCGUACCCCUUCGGCCGGGGAUAAUUGCACGUGAGCCCUCAUAAAACUAUCAAAUAAACCCGUCGUCCACUCACGUGGAAAACUAAUUAAAUCUAGGUCCUGAGUUUCACAGUUUAGACCCUGUGUUUUCUAGAAAUUGUGUUCGCAGGCCAGAAUUAAUAGGGAUAUUCAUAAUUAAAUCAGAAAAUGAUUUUUUUAUAAAAAUAAAUCUAGGAACUUGUUUAAUUCAUAGUUAAUUCAUUUUAGCUCCAGAUUGAGUUAUUCCAGUUGCAAUAAUUUUGUUUUAAUAUUAUCUAUCAUCUAGUGCUUCUGUUUAGCCAUAAAACUUGAAUUAAAAAUGUUCAUUUGAAUUAAUCUAUUCUAGGUGCUUAACAACUCCAGAAAUUCAUAACUUGUUAACCGUAACUUCGAAUUUAGUAAUUCUUGUUCCUAUGAUCUCGUUAUGCAGCUUAGAAUAUUAUUAUGUAGUUUGAUCUUAUAUUUGGUGUGAUGUUAAUUUUGCAUAUACAUGUUUGUCUGUAUUGCUACGUUUAGCAGUGAGGACACGAGUUACCUGAAGAUCAUCUUGGUACCUGGAAUCUCAAGUCCCAGGCAAGUUGUGCCCUUGAUCACUUCUUUUUACCCAGUCAUGUUCUGAUUAAUCAUAAUGAUCUGCAUAGGUUAAUUUUGAUGGGACCCAAUAGGUUACCCUAGUUUGAUUAUCUUUAUACCUUGAUUACCACUGACUUUUUGGGUAGCACCUGCUAUUGCUUUAUGUGGUUUUGGGUAUGAAGAUUACAUUAUUCAUGAUUACACUUUUGUUAUUAGUUGUUAUUUACUAUUCAUGAUAAGAUCAUUAUGUUAAUUGGAACAUGGAGAACCACCCGGGAAAACAGUGCUACCACAAGUGUUUAUGGACGCCCUUGGCUGAUUAACUAGGAAAGCUAGUGGAGGUCUUCCUUACCCGAAAGGGGCAAGGGCAGUAGGGGAGUGGUCACUGUAGGGAGGUCCUUGGUUGAUUUUGCUGCGAUGGCGGUCAGGCAAGAACCCUGCAUUGGAGCUUCCUAUAAACUGUAGCGGGAUUUCUGAAGCUAGUGGAACUUUGUAAAGGCCUCGUAGUGUUACCCUGCCUCGCCUCCUCGGUAGAGGUGUAUGGGAUUGGCCGUCUCUUGGCAGAUGGGUAACAUGACUUGUGGGUAAAGAUGUGCAACCUCUGCAGAGUGUAAAACUGGUAUACUAGCCGUGCUCACGGUCAUGAGCGGCUCGGACACUCACAUGAUUAAAUUAUGGAACUUAAACUCAAUUUGUCAUAUGCAUUGCAUCGCAGGUGAGGUUGUUACUUUUGUUCUACUAAAUUGGGCUGGUAUUUACUUAUACUUAGUAAUUGCUAAUAAAAUUUUGACCAACUUUAAAAGCAAUGCUCAGCUCUAACCAUCAUCUUUGGUAAGCCUUACACUUCACGUGAGCUCCCACCUUUGGCGAGUUCAUGCACAUUAUUCCCCACAACUUGUUGAGCGAUGAACGUAUGUGAGCUCACUCUUGCUGUCUCACACCCCCCCCACAGGUCAAGAAUAGGUACCAUAGGAUGAGGCGCUUGGAGGAUGCUGUGACGAGUUCGUGAGAGGUCUAGGUCGUCGUCUCCCAGUCAACUUUGGGUUGCCGGACCGUUGUCUCCAUAUAAUGUAUUUAUUUAUUUAUUUUGUACAAAACUCCAAUUAUAUAGUAAAGAUGUGACAUUCGAUCAUGUGCCAUGAUUCAUCAUAUGUGUGAGACUUGGUCCUAGCACACCUGGUGAUUAUGUUCGCGCCCGGGUCUUGGUGCCCCGAAACCCGGGUGUGACAGAAGUGGUAUCAGAGGAAUGUUGACUGUAGGACGUAACCUAGAUAGAACUGGACAACCAUUGUCUACUUACCUUUGCUACUCUGAUUCUUUUCUAAACUUAUCUUAAUCUUUUCUCAUCCAUUUCUGCUUUACUCUGAUUAUUCUUACCUUUUUCUUAUAAAGACAAAUGUGGAUUUCACACUCUGAAAUCCUGUACCUAAAGUGACUUUUAGGAAUAGGAGACUUAAUCUUAGGAACAAAAAAACAAAACUAUUUUUUUAUCUAUACGCUUGAAUGUUUGUUCUUAUGAUAUUUGUCUGAUUUGGAUCUUUGAUUGAGUGUGAUGGGUUGUGGAGUAAUGUCCACAAUUACAUCUGCAUAUACAUAUAGGGAAAAAUGCUUAUAAAAAUAACUAGAUAAACUAGAUUAUCCCUCAUUAAAGGAUCUAGCCAAACAAUAUCCAUCUCAUCUUAAAAGAUUCUAUCCUACACUCGUAGAUCCAUCUUAUCUUAAGAAGAUACUCAUCUUAUCUUGAAAAGAUUUUAUGUCAUGCUAAUAGAUCUAACUGAUCUCAAAUGAUUCUAUCUUAUCUUUAUGGAUCCAUCUUAUCCUAACAAGCAUACUUAUCCACCCUAGUUUAACAACCAUGAUCUAAUGCAAAUUAAUUAGAUCUUAUCUAGUCAAACUAGUCAUACCAAUCUAAUCUAGAUCCCAUCUAAUCUAAUAUGAUCUAAUCUAAUGUGGUCUAUUUAAACAGAUUAGUGAUACUGGUAGAAGAGAUUAAACCCUACUAGCCAGGUAUUAACUUAACUUCGCACAUUAGACCAACUCAACCAUGGGCAUAAGAUCUAACCUAGCCAAUAGAGUCUUGAUGGAUUGCAUAAUCUAUCUAUCUCCACCUAACCUCAAACAAACUUUUGACCUACAUCAAUCUCACCCAUAUCUAUCUUAACCAUACCCUGGUAACUCCGAUGAUAAACGCUGACCCCAACUCAAUGAGACCAAGACCAGAAAAGAACAAGAUCAACCUCGUCAAGGAAGGAGAGAAGUCAAACUCGAUCUUCAGAUGCAUUACCACCCAACAAGGAGUCCUUUCUCACCAUAAACUGUCUUACCCCUAGCUAUUGUUUCCCUAACCUAUCCAUCUCUUAUAUCCUACAUAAUAGGUGGCUAGAAACCCAUGCUUUCCUAAAUACCUAUUUAUUUGUAUAAAAAAAACUUUUCAAUAUUGAACUAAAAGACAAUUACAAGCAAAACUUUCUACACCUCUUUCUUACAAAUCUCGAGGACGAGAUUUUUGUUAAGGGGGGUAGGAUUUGUAAAGCCCUAAAAUUGCGUAGGAUAAAAAAUGAUAAAAUAAUACAUACAUAUAUAAAAUUGUUUUGGGAACACAGAACCUUGGGAGACUAUCAAUUUAUUUAUCAAUAGGUUAUACCCUUCAUGAACAAUAUAAAUAGAAACCAUCUUUUAAUCAAGCUAAAAGUAAUUAAUGAUAAAGUUUGGACAUUACUUCCUCUAAAAUAAGUAGUAAAUAUGCACUUUUGAAUCGACCUUUAAUUUUACAACACCUUCAAAUAAUAUUUUUCUAAAAGAAAGAUAGCGUGUGUACUUCAUAUUUGAAACAAUUGUCUAAUUAAUAAAUAAAACAAUAAAUGUAAAUAUAUAUCUACAUAUAUUUGCAUUCAUGCGGGAGUUUGAUUGUGCAUUUUUAAGUAUGUGUCAAAUCCAAAACUAAUUUUGAAUUCUAUUCGAAUUUGGAAUUGUAAGUUAAGAAAAUGAUAAAAAUAUAGAUGAAGAGAGAACAAACCGGUUUGACCCAAUCUCACUCACGUGGCCUACAUUCUCUUCUCUCUCCCCAUAACCCGUCUUGUUUCUUUCCAUUUAUAAUUCUUGUACAAACUACUGGUAACAGCCGGGGGACGUAUGUUCCUUCCAUGUCAGACACCGACACGUGGGGCACCCUGCAUACGAGCACGAACGCUGAACCAUCCCAGAAAAAUCGUCGGUGCCUGUAACAACCGCGUAACAACCGGGCAUGAGCCGACAGAUGGCGUUACAGGUUUAUAAAACCCGAUUCCCAUGUGCCUUCCGCCAUAACCAGGCUUGGGAGCUAGCGCAACCUUGCAUGGAUGAUUACGCUGAAGCACAGCGACGAGUAGGAGAGAGAGAAUAGAGCCGCUGCGACCACGCCUCGCGUUCACCAUCUCCCAGCCUCUCGAUCGCUGGGGAAUUGGGCGAGAUCACCAAGUCGUGCAGAUCGUGCGUGUGGUCAGCAGAGCAAGGAAGUUGGCGGGGGAGACGAAUUGCUUGCCGGUGCUUGGCCGAAUCCUCACCGGGAAUCCUCGGGCGGCACUGCAGCGUCGACCGGCCGCAUCGACGUCUUUUCGAGUGGUGAGACCCUACUAAAUUACUCGCCGUAGCAUCCGCAUAGAUGAUCCCCAUUCAAUUUCCGAAUUUAGACCUAGAAAUCGGCAGGGUUGGUUCGCCACCAAUGGCGACGUCGUGCCUUAGCGUUCUGUCGCCGGUCGGGCACCGUGGUGAGAGAGAGAGGAUUGGGGGGGAGAAAAAUGAAGGGCUUGGGCUGUUGGAUCAUACACGGACGGCGCCGAUCUAACCACGCAUACCCCUUCGCUCAAUAGGAUUUGGGCCGUAGAUCUGAGAUCAAGCGAUCAGGAUUUGAUCAUAGUCAUUCUUAAUCUGGACUGACGAUCUUUAAUCCGGUGGUCCUCAUGGCUUACCGGUUCAUUUUUAAUGAAGUCUAAUCCUGGCCGUGGAAUUUAGAUCUGACGGCUGAAGUCAGCCCGUACCCCUUCGGCCGGGGAUAAUUGCAUGUGAGCCCUCAUAAAACUAUCAAAUAAACCCGUCGUCCACUCACGUGGAAAACUAAUUAAAUCUAGGUCCUGAGUUUCACAGUUUAGACCCUGUGUUUUCUAGAAAUUGUGUUCGCAGGCCAGAAUUAAUAGGGAUAUUCAUAAUUAAAUCAGAAAAUGAUUUUUUUUAUAAAAAUAAAUCUAGGAACUUGUUUAAUUCAUAGUUAAUUCAUUUUAGCUCCAGAUUGAGUUAUUCCAGUUGCAAUAAUUUUGUUUUAAUAUUAUCUUUCAUCUAGUGCUUCUGUUUAGCCAUAAAACUUGAAUUAAAAAUGUUCAUUUGAAUUAAUCUAUUCUAGGUGCUUAACAACUCCAGAAAUUCAUAACUUGUUAACCGUAACUCCGAAUUUAGUAAUUCUUGUUCUUAUGAUCUCGUUACGCAGCUUAGAAUAUUAUUAUGUAGUUUGAUCUUAUAUUUGGUGUGAUGUUAAUUUUGCAUAUACAUGUUUGUCUGUAUUGCUACGUUUAGCAAUGAGGACACAAGUUACCUGAAGAUCAUCCUGGUACCUGGAAUCUCAUGUCCCAGGCAAGUUGUGCCCUUGAUCACUUCUUUUUACCCAGUCAUGUUCUGAUUAAUCAUAAUGAUCUGCAUAGGUUAAUUUUGAUGGGACCCAAUAGGUUACCCUAGUUUGAUUAUCUUUAUACCUUGAUUACCACUGGACUUUUUGGGUAGUACCUGCUAUUGCUUUAUGUGGUUUUGGGUAUGAAGAUUACAUUAUUCAUGAUUACACUUUUGUUAUUAGUUGUUAUUUACUAUUCAUGAUAAGAUCAUUAUGUUAAUUGGAACAUGGAGAACCACCCGGGAAAACAGUGCUACCACAAGGGUUUAUGGACGCCCUUGGCUGAUUAACUAGGAAAGCUAGUGGAGGUCUACCUUACCCGAAAGGGGCAAGGGCAGUAGGGGAGUGGUCAGUGUAGGAAGGUCCUUAGUUGAUUUUGCUGCGAUGGCGGUCAGGCAAGAACCCUGCAUUGGAGCUUCCUAUAAACUGUAGCGGGAUUUCUGAAGCUAGUGGACCUUUGUAAAGGCCUCGUAGUGUUACCCUGCCUCGCCUCCUCGGUAGAGGUGUAUGGGAUUGGCCGUCUCUUGGCAGAUGGGUAACAUGACUUGUGGGUAAAGAUGCGCAACCUCUGCAGAGUGUAAAACUGGUAUACUAGCCGUGCUCACGGUCAUGAGCGGCUCGGACACUCACAUGAUUAAAUUAUGGAACUUAAACUCAAUUUGUCAUAUGCAUUGCAUCGCAGGUGAGGUUGUUACUUUUAUUCUACUAAAUUGGGCUGGUAUUUACUUAUACUUAGUAAUUGCUAAUAAAAUUUUGACCAACUUUAAAAGCAAUGCUUAGCUCUAACCAUCCUCUUUGGUAAGCCUUACACUUCACGUGAGCUCCCACCUUUGGCGAGUUCAUGCACAUUAUUCCCCACAACUUGUUGAGCGAUGAACGUAUGUGAGCUCACUCUUGCUGUCUCACACCCCCCCCACAGGUCAAGAACAGGUACCACAGGAUGAGGCGCUUGGAGGAUGCUGUGACAAGUUCGUGAGAGGUCUAGGUCGUCGUCUCCCAGUCAACUUUGGGUUGCUGGACCGUUGUCUCCAUAUAAUGUAUUUAUUUAUUUAUUUUGUACAAAACUCCGAUUAUAUAGUAAAGAUGUGACAUUCGAUCAUGUGCCAUGAUUCAUCAUAUGUGUGAGACUUGGUCCCAGCACACCUGGUGAUUAUGUUCGCGCACGAGUCUUGGUGCCCCGAAACCCGGGUGUAACAAUUACAUAGACGUGGUUGAAAUGUUUCGGUGGUAGGUCGUAGUAUGGUUGUGUUCAUGAUUUUGAGUUAGAGAUUGGUGGUUGACGAUUCGUAUAAAUUGGUUGAUGAUGUGCAUGUGUGAUUAUAUGUGUAAAAAAAUUGUAUUGGUAUGGAUGGAAGUUUGUAGUGAAAGAAAAUGAGUAAGGAACUGGGCUCGGAUGUUUUUAAGUUUUGG